CUACCAUGGCAGUCACGGGUAACGGAGAAUUAGGGUUCGAUUCCGGAGAGGGAGCCUGAGAAACGGCUACCACAUCUAAGGAAGGCAGCAGGCGCGUAAAUUACCCAAUCCUGAUUCAGGGAGGUAGUGACAAGAAAUAACAACUCGGGGAACAUCUGUUCUUACGGGAUUGCAAUGAGGACGAUUCAAAGAACCUAUCGAGGAACAAUUGGAGGGCAAGUCUGGUGCCAGCAGCCGCGGUAAUUCCAGCUCCAAUAGCGUAUAUUAAAGUUGUUGCAGUUAAAAAGCUCGUAGUUGAACUUCUGGCUGUGGGUAGGUACGGCUUUGGUCGGCCUAUUCGCAGUCAUCCGAUUGCAAACUGCGUAUGGCAUUCAGUUGUCAGCGUAGGGAGCAAUCAAUUUACUUUGAAAAAAUUAGAGUGUUUCAGGCAGGCAAUCGCCCGAAUACAUUAGCAUGGAAUAAUGGAAAAGGACUUUGGUUCAUUUGGUUGGCUAUUGAAUCAGAGUAAUGAUAAAUAGGGACAGUUGGGGGCAUUAGUAUUUAAUUGUCAGAGGUGAAAUUCUUGGAUUUAUUAAAGACUAACUUAUGCGAAAGCAUUUGCCAAGGAUGUUUUCAUUAAUCAA
rnacentral:rRNA from 1 species